GGGCCUGUAGGUAAAAGGGAUACUGUCUGAUUUGCACUCAGACGUUGCGAGUUCGAUUCUCGCCGGGUCCACCA
rnacentral:tRNA from 1 species